UACGUAGGGGGCGAGCGUUGUCCGGAGUUACUGGGCGUAAAGGGCAUGCAGGCGGUCAGACGCGUUUUGUGUGACAGCGGAGGGCUUCACUCUCCGAGGAUGCGAAAGACGGCGGCACUUGAGGGCCAGAGAGGGACACGGAAUUCCGGGUGGAGUGGUGAAACGCGUAGAGAUCCGGAGGAACACCGAAGGCGAAGGCAGUGUCCUGGCUGGUGACUGACGCUGAGGUGCGAAAGCUAGGGGAGCGAACGGG
rnacentral:rRNA from 1 species